rnacentral:rRNA from 1 species
GAUGAACGCUAGCGAUAGGCCUAACACAUGCAAGUCGAGGGGCAUCACAAAGAGUAGCAAUACUUUUGGUGGCGACCGGCGGAUGGGUGAGUAACACGUAUGCAACCUACCUUCUACAUUGGGAUAACCCGUUGAAAGACGGACUAAUACCGAAUAAUACAGGGGCGCCACAUGGUGAUAUUUGUUAAAGUUUCGAGCAAUCGAUUCGGUAGAAGAUGGGCAUGCGUAUGAUUAGCUAGUUGGUGAGGUAACGGCUCACCAAGGCAACGAUCAUUAGGGGUUCUGAGAGGAAGGUCCCCCACACUGGUACUGAGACACGGACCAGACUCCUACGGGAGGCAGCAGUGAGGAAUAUUGGUCAAUGGGCGCGAGCCUGAACCAGCCAAGUCGCGUGAAGGAAGACUGUCCUAUGGAUUGUAAACUUCUUUUGUACAGGAAUAAAGUGUUCUACGUGUAGGAUUUUGCAUGUACUGUACGAAUAAGGAUCGGCUAACUCCGUG